GACGAACGCUGGCGGCGUGCUUAACACAUGCAAGUCGAGCGGUAAGGCCCUUUCGGGGUACGACGAGCGGCGAACGGGUGAGUAACACGUGGGUGACCUGCCCUCAGCUCUGGGAGUAAGCCUGGGAAACCGGGUCUAAUACUGGAUAUGACUCCAUGACGCAUGUUGGUGGGGUGGAAAGCCUUGUGCGGCUGAGGAUGGGCCCGCGGCCUAUCAGCUUGUUGGUGGGGUGAGGCCUACCAAGGCGACGACGGGUAGCCGGCCUGAGAGGGCGACCGGCCGACACUGGGACUGAGACACGGCCCAGACUCCUACGGGAGGCAGCAGUGGGGAAGUCUUGCGCAAUGGGCGAAAGCCUGACGCAGCGACGCCGCGUGAGGGAUGACGG
rnacentral:rRNA from 1 species